GAUGAACGCUGGCGGCGUGCCUAAUACAUGCAAGUCGAGCGAACAGACGAGGAGCUUGCUCCUCUGACGUUAGCGGCGGACGGGUGAGUAACACGUGGAUAACCUACCUAUAAGACUGGGAUAACUUCGGGAAACCGGAGCUAAUACCGGAUAAUAUAUUGAACCGCAUGGUUCAAUAGUGAAAGACGGUUUUGCUGUCACUUAUAGAUGGAUCCGCGCCGCAUUAGCUAGUUGGUAAGGUAACGGCUUACCAAGGCAACGAUGCGUAGCCGACCUGAGAGGGUGGUCGGCCACACGGGAACUGAGACACGGCCCAGACUCCUACGGGAGGCAGCAGUAGGGAAUCUUCCGCAAUGGGCGAGAGCCUGACGGAGCAACGCCGCGGGAGUGAUGAAGGUCUUCGGAUCGUAAAGCUCUGUUAUUAGGGAAGAACAAAUGUGUAAGUAACUAUGCACGUCUUGACGGUACCUAAUCAGAAAGCCACGGCUAACUACGUG
rnacentral:rRNA from 1 species